GACGAACGCUGGCGGCGUGCUUAACACAUGCAAGUCGAACGGUGAAGCGCCUUCCUUUUGGUGGGUGUGGAUGAGUGGCGAACGGGUGAGUAACACGUGAGUAACCUGCCCCCUUCUUCUGGAUAACCGCAUGAAAGUGUGGCUAAUACGGGAUAUUCUGGGUCUGUCGCAUGAUGGGUCUGGGAAAGAUAUUGUUUCGGUGGGGGAUGGGCUCGCGGCCUAUCAGCUUGUUGGUGGGGUGAUGGCCUACCAAGGCGGUGACGGGUAGCCGGCCUGAGAGGGUGGACGGUCACACUGGGACUGAGACACGGCCCAGACUCCUACGAGAGGCAGCAGUGGGGAAUAUUGCACAAUGGGCGCAAGCCUGAUGCAGCGACGCCGCGUGAGGGAUGGAGGCCUUCGGGUUGUGAACCUCUUUCGCCAGUGAAGCAGGCCUGCCUCGUUUGUGGGUGGGUUGACGGUAGCUGGAUAAGAAGCGCCGGCUAACUACGUG
rnacentral:rRNA from 1 species